rnacentral:misc_RNA from 1 species
AACGCACAUUGCGCCCGCCAGUAUUCUGGCGGGCAUGCCUGUUCGAGCGUCAUUUCAACCAUCAGGCCCUGUCCAGGCCUGUGUUGGGGCCCUGCGGCUGCCGCAGCCCCCUAAAUGCAGUGGCGGGCUCGCUGUUACCCCGAGCGCAGUAGCGUAUCUCGCUCUGGGCGUGGCGGCGGGUGCUAGCCGUGAAACACUCACUAAGGUUGACCUCGGAUCAGGUAGGAAUACCCGCUGAACUUAA